UUUGUUGGAGGAUAUGAAAAUAGUUGCGACGGGUGUAUGUUGCCAAUCUCGGAUCCGUUUUACUACUGUUCAGAAUGUGCUUUUUUUCUUCAUAAAGCGUGUGCCGAGUUACCUAAGAUGAAGAAUGUUUGGCAUCAUGAUUGCAAAGAGCCCCUAGCCCUUAUUUCUGACAAAGCUUUUCUGUGUCGACGAUGUUUGUACGUAACUAAUGCCUUUGCUUAUGAAUGUUGUGGAUGUGAGGGAAAAAUAUGUCUCCGAUGUGUGAUUGCUCUUACUCCUGGUGCUCGAACAUGUUUGAAACAUGAACACCCCCUCUUUUACUACCCAAAGCACAAUGGGAAAUGCAAUGCUUGUGGUACGACUACACAGGCGGCAUUCUGUUGUAAGGAUUGCAAUAUUGUGCUACAUCUUCGUUGUUUUUCACUUCCAAUUACAGCGCGUCACAAAUGCGAUGAGCAUCUUCUUUCACUCACUGAUUAUGAUGAUAACAGUUAUUCAGAACAUCAUCACUGUGAUAUCUGUGAAGAAAGUCGAGAUCCAAACCGUUGGUUUUAUAAUUGUUCAACAUGUGAUACUUCUGCUCAUGUUAAUUGUGUUCUUGGACCAUAUCCAUUCCUCAAACUCGGGAGCAUUCAUGAAGGAAAUGAUCAUCCACACCCACUCACCAUUGUGAAGAAGAAGUAUUACUACCCAGAUUGUGAGAAAUGCGGUGAGCCUUGUGUAGAUGUGGCUCUUGAAUGCUCAAAGUCGGAGUGCAAAUAUAUUGUCCACUGGAAUUGUGUAACACCCGUUCAUCCAUGGAGUUUUUGGGCGUGGUACAGGAGGUAAUUCAGAUGUAAUCAUAUUUGAAAUCUGCCACUUCAUUUGCAGGAAAACUCAAGACUGGAAAACAGGGUUUGAUCUUUGCCUUGUUACUUGUGAUAUUAGUUAUUGUUGUAACUGUAAUUUGGUUUUCUCGACUUUUUAAGUUAUAAAUAAAUGUCAUGUAAAAAUCUGAGCUGAAACUUGUGAGGUUUGAUUGUUGAUUUUAGAAUUACUUGUGAGGUUUGCCGAAACGUUGCUAGAUGCUUCUCUUUGUUUUUAUAUAUAAGCUUUUUCUGAAAUUACUUAGCUCAAUGUAUUAGAUAAAGUAAGAAGGAGCUGUCUCCUUCAAAAAACCAAACAUGUCUUUUAAUGAUAUAUUUCGCAUACUAAAAUUUUAUUGCGCAAUUUAUGAAGCUUCAUCGUAACUUAACCCUAUUAUUGCCUAAGCAAAUAAUUUUGAAAACAAAAGAUUCAACAGCCUAAACUGAAAUUACUACAGUCCCAAAUAAAAUUGAAGGAUUAGCUUUUUUUUUUCCCCAUAAAAACUAUAUAUUAAGACAAAAAGGAAAAUGCAAAGUCGAGAAAGGUCAUCAUCCACACAAUUUCACAACAGCUCAAACCAGUAAUCAAUGGAAGGAGUGAUUAUGGCCCAAACACUGCAACAGCUUAACCAAGAAUGACAAUAAACAUGGAUACCAUCUGCCAGCUUCUACUUUGAGAUUCCAAUCCCCACACCUAAUGUUUUAGCUAUUUUCCCAUCUCUUUUUUACUCUCUUAUAUCACAACCUUGUAUCUAAUUUCCUUACUGUCUUGUCUGGGAUGGUGUUGGAGUUUUAGAGAAGUUGAGAGAACAAAAUACAGAGAAAACAAAGAACAAUACUUAUCAGAAUUUAUUUUUUUUUUGACUGCUAUCAAAUUUUCUCAUAUGCUUUUACUAGAGUUUUGAAAAUCUAGAAAUAGAUAAGAGAAUCGAGUUUUACUAGAUGUUGAGGCCUAUUUUCACAUUUUUGAUUCAGCUGCUCCUAUGCUACUUGAAAAAAUGUUUCGUUUGUCUCUCACGAUACAACAACAAGAUCAUCGAAGCAGUAGCACCUCUAUAGUGAUCAACGAACAAACCUUGACUUCUUCUAUCACUGAAACAUUUAAAAAUUUGGAGUGAAAAAGAAAGAAUGUUGAGAGUGAAAUAAAUUUGUUGUGUGUCUAAAGAAUUCUAAAUAUACAAAUCUGCAUUAAAGGAGUCUUUUGUCCUUUUAAAGGAGAUUUAUACGUCAAGCAAGUACGCACCCAACCCCAGUGAAUUUGGAUUCGCACCCUUGCUAUGCAUGAGGGAGAAUAUUAAUUUAGCGCUUUAAUAAUUACUAAAUUGGCUUACAUAUAUAUACAAGUUUCACACUUGAGUUCCAAUCAAUGUGAGACUAAUACUUUUCAUUUUCCUCAACAUAAUUUACAAAUAGUUUACAUUGAGCAUAAAUUUCGUAUCCAUCACUUAAACAUUUUGAGUAUAUAAUAUAUCGUUAUAAAGGUAUCAUGAAGUAGAAUAUAAAACCAUAAUUUUAUGAUUCAACUCUCCAUUUUUAUCAAUCGUUAAUAUGCCUCAAAGUUUUCAAAAAUUACAUUUUUUUCCAACACACUUCAGCGAAAGGAACCAGAGGACAGUCGAUACGAAGUUGUUACCCAAAUUAGAUGAACAGUAUGCCAACGGAUCGGAGAUUGCUGGAGAUGUUUUAUAUCGUAGGAUUCUACCGCAUGUGGCUGCAGUGCAAAGGAAUCAAUGGAGUUUUUGGGUAAUGGGGGUUACCAUGUUUAAACAUUUGACAGUCCUUUAAAAUAAGUCAAAUCCCUAUCCUAUUUGUAAAGGAUGUUAUGUUAAAAACAUUUUUCCAGGCUUCUUUAUUUACUGGCAUCAUCAUCACCUACCCCUAGGAGAUCAAUGUUGUUGCUUGUUUUCAGAUUGCAAAUCAAAGCUAACCUCUCAAACUUACAGAAUUCAAUGUUUUUUACAACAAAAAGAAAUUGGAUCAAAACUCUAUCCUUCCAUCCAAUUUCAAUACAAUUCGGUUUAUAUAAGUAAGCUUCAAUACAAGCUUAAUGUAACUUCACCAACUCCGAUUACAACUCGUUGAUUUUUAUCAACUAGUACUUGGAAACUGAAAUUGAAAAAGUAACAGCACUGUCCAUUAUUAUUGAAUCCAAACUAAUUAAUUCUGUCCAUUUUAUAAUGUAUGAUCUUCUCUGUUUGCACCGUCCAGUAACUUAAAUAAAAACUUUCGAAUAGUUCAAUGAACAUUUUAUAACUGUAGUUGAAUGAAUCCGUAACUUAUAGCGCCUGGAGUGUAUGGGCCGAAGAUUUCUGAACUUCGGCCCGUCAUCAAAAGACGCAUAUAAGGAUCACAUGGUAAGUAAAGAUUCUUCACGAGAAUGUCUUUGGAAUCUCCGGUGACCUUCAGUUUUAGAUUCUCGUCGACGAUGACCACCAUGUCUGAUUCUUUUGGAAACCCGGAAACAUAAUCCUUGAAUAUCACCUUUUUGUUGCUCACCACUGCAUUUCUCACUACCAUCCGCCAUUGUUGUUUUGCUUGGUGCUUUUGUUUUUUUCUCUAUGGUGAAGAUCACGUUCUGAAAUAAGCUGAACUUCUCUCUAUUAUCAGGUGGGUCUAAAAUUGGCCAAAUUGUGGUUUUGGUCCUUCUAUUAUUUUCAAUUUUGAAAAUUAAUCUAUGUAUUUUAAUUUGGUAUAAUUUAAUCUUCGUAAUCUUAUUAGUUAGUUAAAAUAGUUAACUAUAUACUAUUGGUCUCUGUACUUUCGUGCUGUUUGAACUUUGAAAUUUCAAUCCUAAUCAAAAUGGUAUUUACUAAAUUAUGAUAUUUUCUAAAGUUUAUAUGGCAAACAUAUUAUCAAAUGUGUAAUGUAAUGUAGUUUGUUAUUUGCACAAAAUAAAAAAAAAUCUUAUUAUUUUUAAUCGUUCUAGCAGAAUUUAACCUAACUAUUCUAAUUAAAAUGCAGAUUUGAUUUUUUCUUAAAAAUAUCCCUUGAAAAAAAUCAUGUUGAAGGAUGAAUUGGAAUAAAUAUUUUUUUAGAAAAAUCCUCACCAAUAUUUUAAUAAAAAUAUUACUAUUAGAUUAACUAGUGACAUUAUAAAUAUAGAUGACUAUAUUAUGAAAAAUUAAAAUAUGAAAAAUAAAUCUCAUAUUUGAUUAUAAGAUAGGGACUAAAAUCAGAAUUUUACCUUUUAAAUUUCCAUUUUAGUUUGAUUGCGUAUACCGUUUGUAUUGUGAGGCUGAAAACUUGAAAAGGAUAUUUAAAGUCCAAUCAAUUUCGACCGUACAAUCUUUUUUUUCAAGAAACUCGUUUAAAAUCAAUAUCCAAUGCGUACACGUAGCUAGAGGUGUCCGCUCGAAGCAUGAGAGGAUUCGGGUAAAAAUAUAGGACCGAAAUAUAGGUUUGGGUAAAAAAACGGAGUCCGUUUAGAAAAUGGGCCAGGCCUCGGGCACUACUUUUUUGGCCCGGGCAGAAUAUAAUAAAUAUAUAUUUUUAUUUUUUUAAUUUUAAAAUAUUUUUAAAAUAUUUUUAAAAUACUUUUUUUGUUUUUUAUUUUAAAAAUAAUUUUUUGGUGUUUUAUUAAAAAAAUAGGCCGGGCCGAGACCGGACUUAGGAAUUUUUACCCGGGCCAAGCCUGGACAAAAUUUCAGACCCAUAUUUCGGGCCAGGCCGGGCUGGGCUCGAGCCUAGGACACGGGCCAAAAUUUUGGCCCAGCCCAUGAGCACCUCCACACGUAACCAACCUAAUAUGAUAAUCGUUUGGGUAAAUUAUUAUCAUUUUUUGAUCAAUGGGAUAAUUACAAAUAAAUAAAUAUUAUAAAUAUUAUAAAUAAAUAUUAUAUAAAUAUUUAUAUUUAUGUAGAAAACAAUAGAUUUAAACAAAAUAAAUUAAAUAAAUAUUUAUAUCUAUUUAAAACAUUAAAUCUGGAAAAACAAUUAAGAGAAUCGAGUUUUACUAGAUCUUGAGGUCUGUUUUCACAGUUUCUUUAGGAUAAAUUCGGCCACUCAUAUGCUACUUGAAGAAACGUUGAUCGUAUGUCUCCUAAGAUACAACAACAAAAUGAUCGCGAUAGUAGUACCAAUGCAAUGAUCAAGAACAAACAUUGUCUUCUUCUAUUAUCGAAACGUUUGAAAAUUUGGAGGAAAAAAUUCGUUGUGUCUUUAAAAAAUUUUGCUGUAUUUUUAAGUUUUUAUAGGCAUUAAGUAUGGAGGAAUUUUAGAAAUUUCUAUAAAUAAAUAUAUAAAUUUGCAUUAAAGGAGCCUUUAGAUCAAUUUGAUUGGAAUCAAAUCAAAUCGAGAUAUUUAUCUUUAUAUAUAAUUGUUUCUAUUAUUGGUUAAAUUAUUUGACAGAGAAGAGCUUUUAGGAAUGAUUUUGAACCCAUUCUUAGUGCACAUUUAAAUUAAUAAUUUAGUUGUCAAAUAAAUUGGUGGUUCAUUUGUCAUUUAUGCUCUGUAAUUGUCUCUUCCGCCUUCGUUUCGAUUAUAAACAAAUAACCCUUUGAUCCUUCCUUAAAACGAAGUUUAAAGGAAUGUAAAAUACAAAGUAGGAGUGAAUGUGAUAUAUCUAUUUUUUUUUUUAUGUUGUUUCACCAGAAAAUGAAGAUGAAAAGUGUCUUGAUAUAUCUUUGAACUCCAUCACUAAUGUUCUAGAGAGGAAUGAUGCAGGAGAAGCCACAAUAAUAGAGCACUUCAAGCAUAUGGUGAUAAAUGUUGUGAUGGGUGCAUGUUGCUAAUCUCGGCUUCAUUCUACUAUUGCUUUCAGUGUCAAUUCUUUCUUCAUAAAGCUUGUGCUGAACUACCAAAGAUGAAGCCUGUUUGGCAUCAUGGAUGCCAAAUUAGAAACUUCAGACAACAUUUUCAAAUGUGAAAUUUGUUGUUUCCUUUCUAAUGGCUUUGCCUACAAAUGUCCCGAUGCUCUAACAUGUCCAGGACAUGAACAUCCCCUUCUUUUCUAUUAUGAUUUUUACGGGCAGUGUUGUGCUUGUGGUGAGGAUAUAAAAGUGGCAUUCAACUGCAAGGAUUGCAAUUAUUCUGUAGAUCCUUACUGUAUGCUACUACUACCUAGAGCCAGACACAAAUGUUAUGAGCAUCUUCUUGCACUCAGUUAUCACGAGAUAAAUGAUUAUUCAGAACAUCAUUACUGUAACAUUUGUGAGCGAAAAAGAGAUCCGAAGAGCUGGUUUUAUCAUUGCACAACUUGUGACACAGCAUCAAAGAAGGGGAUCAUCCGCACCCUCUCACAUUUGUGAAGAAGAUAAAUUACUACCCUGAAUGCACUAAAUGUGGAGAACCCUGUGAAGAGCUCGCUCUUGAAUGUGCGGAACAAGAGUGCAACUAUCUCGUUCACUGGAAAUGUGUGAAACCAUAUGGCUCUGUAUAUGCAUGCUUGAUAGGUAGAGACUUUUAAUUAACAUUUUAGUCGUAAGUUGAAAUAAUGUAAUUUAGCCAAUUGAUUGGGUUGAAACUUGUGUGGUUUGAAUUGCUUAUGGUUGUGUAGUUACUUUAAAUUUUUUAAAUUUUAAAUUAAUAAAAGUGGAAUUAUACUUUGGUUCCCUAAUAAUAAUAAAAAUUUGAUUUAAUCAUUUAAAAGCCAUAAUGAUAUAGACUAUUCAAAUAGUGAAAUUACAUUUUUACUAUCGUAAAAAAUUAAAUUUAAUUUCUGAUCCUCUAAAAGGAAAUUCUGCCUUUGCCCCUGGUCCUUGGUGAACACUUCCAUUCCUCAAACUCGGGAGUCUCAUUGAAGCACAUUACAUUCAUGAGCACCCUAUCAUUGUUGUUAAGAAAAUUUAUUACUAUCCAAAUUGUAGUAAAUGUGGUAAGCCCUAUUUGGAUUUGGCUGUCGAAUGUACUAGAUGCAACUUCAUUGUCCAUGAUAACAAGUUCUCUUCUUCAGAUUGGGAGGACUAAGGUGGCGCUGUGGUGACUAUACUCCAGAAUCACCACUUUUCUUUGCCGGAGAACACAGAGUAAUGCUGAUUGUAUUUAUUAUCCAAACUAGGUUUCCUAUUUGAAGUUGAAAUGUAAGGGAAGCAUGUUUUAAGUUGGAAAAGAAAUUCAAAUCUCAGAAUCGGCAAACAUGAAAAUGUUAUUUACAAAUAUUGGGCCGUGGGUUCUGGGAGCCCACUUGUUUAUGUGUGCCCUGCUCUUUAUGUUUUAGGGGCAGCAAACUAUCAGCGACCCUCUGCCUCUGCCUCUUCCUGAGUCAUUAUCUGUCUUCACUUGUAUUAUUGUUUUCCCAUUGACACUUUGCUCCCAAAAUCAAGCUUUUUCCUUUAUUUAUAUUGCUUGGGGAAGCAAAAAUGGUGGGGUCUAACAAUUAUGGCCACCAACAUCCCCUGCUUCUUAUCUUGAAUGAAGAUCAGCAGCUGAAUGUAGCUAAGUGCUCAAGGUGUCGCGAGAAGGUGUCAACUCCAUGUUUUAGCUGUGCCCAGGAUUGUGGGUUUUACCUUCACAAGGUAUGUGCUGAGGCGCCUUUGGAGCUUAAUCACCCUUUUCAUUCUGAUCAUCCUCUUCUUCUUAUGCAAAAUGCACCUUAUCCUGGAGGGUACAUGUGCAAUUUUUGCAGUAAAUUGGGUAAUGAAUUUGUUUAUCACUGCUCUUGCGAAUUGGACUUUCAUAUUAAAUGUGCUUUGUUUACAUUUAAUAUUGCUGAGAAUAAUUUGAAAGAGCUUGAGCAUGUUGCCCUUCAAGAUGAAGAACUUGAAGAUGAUAGUAAGUGCUUUGGGUGUUGGGAACCAUUAGCAAAGUAUACACACUUUUCUCCUGACUGUGGAUUUAAUUUACAUGACAAAUGCGCUGAGCUUCCCUUCAAACUGAAUCUUGAGUGCCAUCGCGAACAUCCUCUUGUUCUACAAUUUAAUAGCCAACGGCUCUCUUGCAAGAUAUGCAGAAAAAGCAAUCAACAAGCUCUAGGAUUUUUUUAUGGUUGUUCUCCUUGUGAGUUUGUUGUUCACAUUGAAUGUGCAUCACAAUCACCAUUACAAGUUAUUAAGAGUACAAGUCAUGAACAUCCAUUUACCUUGUUUAACGGGCACCAACAUCCCCUGUUUCUUAUGUUGAAUCAAGAGCAGCUGAUGGAUAAUCAAAGGGGUGUAACUGAUUGCUCGAGAUGUGGGGAGAAGGCGUCUGCUCCAUGUUUUUGCUGUGCGGAGCACUGUGGGUUUUAUCUUCAUAAGGUAUGUGCCGAGGCACCUUUGGAGCUUAAUCAUCCUUUUCAUCUCAACCAUCCUCUUCUUAUGCAAAAUGCACCGUAUUCAUCUGGAAUGUACAUUUGCAAUUUUUGCAAUAAAUCUGGUCACAAGUCUGUUUAUCGCUGCUCUUCUUGUGAAUUGGACUUUCAUAUUAAAUGUGCUUUGUUUACAUUUAAUAUUGCUGAGAAUAAUUUGAAAGAGCUUGAGCAUGUUGCCCUUCAACAUCCAUUGAUUCCCACUGAAAAUGGUGGUGAAAAACUUAAAGAUGUUUCUAAGUGCUUUGGGUGCCGGGAACCAUUAGCAAAUUAUACACACUUUUCUCCUUGCCGUGGGUUUAACUUACAUGAGAAAUGCACUGAGAUUCCUUUCAAAUUGAAGCAUGUGUGUCAUCGUAAGCAUCCUCUUGUCCUACAAUUUAAUAGCGAACGGCUCUCUUGCAAGAUAUGCUGCCAGGUAACAAGGCGAAGAGGAUUUGUUUAUGGAUGUUCUCCUUGUAAGUUUGUUGUUCACAUUGAAUGUGCAUCACAAUCACCAUUACAAGUUAUUAAGAGUACAAAUCAUGAACAUCCAUUCACCUUGUCGUUGAGACAAGUUCCAUUCACAUGUGAUGGGUGUGGCACUGAAGGAAAUCAUGUUGCCUAUACAUGUGGUACAUGCAACAUUACAAUCCAUAAAAAUUGCAUUUCAUUGCCUCGCAUUAUCAAAAGUAAGUGGCAUGACCAUCGCCUUGUUCACACAUAUUUCCAUCACAUAGAAGAUUUUAGGGUUUUGAAUUGCCUAAUAUGCCAUGAUGAAGUCAAUACAGAGCAUGGUAGUUACUAUUGUUCAAAGUGCAACGGUAUAUUCCAUGUGAAGUGUGUAAUGAAGGAUAAAGAUUCAUAUGAAAUAGUAGAAAAUGAAGAUGAGAUUGAGAUGCCCAUUGAAAGUUCCAUCAUUGUUAUUGAGAGCAACGAUGCUGGAGAAGCUACAAAAAUAAAUCAUUUCAAGCAUAUGCAUAAUCUAAUGUUAGGUCCCUUUGUUGGAGGAUAUGAAAAUAGUUGCGACGGGUGUAUGUUGCCAAUCUCGGAUCCGUUUUACUACUGUUCAGAAUGUGCUUUUUUUCUUCAUAAAGCGUGUGCCGAGUUACCUAAGAUGAAGAAUGUUUGGUAUCAUGAUUGCAAAGAGCCUCUAGCCCUUAUUUCUGACAAAGCUUUUUAUUGUCGACGAUGUUGGGGCAUAUCUAAUGCCUUUGGUUAUGAAUGUUGUGGAUGUGAGGAAAAAAUAUGUC
rnacentral:lncRNA from 1 species